CUACUUACCUGGCAGGGGAGAUAGCAUGAUCACGAAGGUGGUUUUCUCAGGGUGAGGCUUAUUCAUUGCACUCCGGAUAUGCUGAACCCUGCGAUUUCCCCAGAUGUGGGAAACUUGACUGCAUAAUUUGUGGUAGUGGAGGACUGCGUUCGUGCUCUCCCCUG
rnacentral:snRNA from 1 species